GAUGAACGCUGGCGGCGUGCCUAAUACAUGCAAGUCGAGCGAAUGGAUUGAGAGCUUGCUCUUAUGAAGUUAGCGGCGGACGGGUGAGUAACACGUGGGUAACCUGCCCAUAAGACUGGGAUAACUCCGGGAAACCGGGGCUAAUACCGGAUAACAUUUUGAACCGCAUGGUUCGAAAUUGAAAGGCGGCUUCGGCUGUCACUUAUGGAUGGACCCGCGCCGCAUUAGCUAGUUGGAGAGGUAACGGCUCACCAAGGCAACGAUGCGUAGCCGACCUGAGAGGGUGAUCGGCCACACUGGGACUGGGACACGGCCCAGACUCCUACGGGAGGCAGCAGUAGGGAAUCUUCCGCAAUGGACGAAAGUCUGACGGAGCAACGCCGCGUGAGUGAUGAAGGCUUUCGGGUCGUAAAACUCUGUUGUUAGGGAAGAACAAGUGCUAGUUGAAUAAGCUGGCACCUUGACGGUACCUAACCAGAAAGCCACGGCUAACUACGUGCCAGCCGCCGCGGUAA
rnacentral:rRNA from 1 species